rnacentral:sRNA from 1 species
GGGAGUGAAACAGGUUCUCGGGAGGGUUCAGAUGUUGCCUGCACUGAAGGCAUUUGUAAUCAUGAUGAACACGGUGAUGACUCUUGUGUUCAUCACUGUGAAGACAAAGAGGAUGAUGGUGAUAGUUGUGUUGAAUGUUGGGCAAAUUCUGAAGAGAACAACACAAAAGGAAAAAAUAAAAAGAAGAAAAAGAAAAGCAAGAUACUGAAAUGUGAUGAACAUGUAAGUGUCAUAACUUGUAAUUCUUAAACCUUUGCUGUUGAGGACAGAACACAUGUUUUCCUUGGAGUGGCAUAUGUGCAGCUUAGCUGCCAGGAUUUACUUUUUUUAGAAUGAGUUCUUUAUGCAGUUCCAUAAACUGCUCAUCGUGUGAGAGUGUGUGUUGGGGGCAGAGAGAGAUGUGAUCAUUUGUCCAACAGUCCUUGUGAGUCAGAAAUUCAAUUGUUCUUUUUAUACUUUUAAAUUUAUAAGCUAUGUAAUCUUAAACAAUUUGUUUAGUCCCUAUCAUAUUAGGUUCUAUGAAGGUGAAGUGAAUGUAUAUUGGCAGGUGUGGCGUAGUGUCUAGUACAUAGUAAGUGCCUGGUAAAAUGAAUGCCAGCUGCUGCUAUUACUUAGUAUUCCUUCUAAAGGUUUAAUACUAUGUCAGGAUUUUUUUGAGAUGGAGUCUCACUCGGUCGUGUAUACUAGAGUACAGUGGCAUAAUCUUGGCUCACUGCAACCUCUGCCUCCCAGGUUCAAGCAAUUCUCCUGCCUCAGCUUUCUGAGUAGCUGGGAUUACAGGCGCAUGCCACCAUGGCUGGCUAAUUUUUGCGUUUUUAGUAGAGAUGGCAUUUGACCACGUUGGCC